CUACGUGCCAGCAGCCGCGGUAAUACGUAGGUCCCGAGCGUUGUCCGGAUUUAUUGGGCGUAAAGCGAGCGCAGGCGGUUUGAUAAGUCUGAAGUUAAAGGCUGUGGCUCAACCAUAGUUCGCUUUGGAAACUGUCAAACUUGAGUGCAGAAGGGGAGAGUGGAAUUCCAUGUGUAGCGGUGAAAUGCGUAGAUAUAUGGAGGAACACCGGUGGCGAAAGCGGCUCUCUGGUCUGUAACUGACGCUGAGGCUCGAAAGCGUGGGGAGCAAACAGGAUUAGAUACCCUGGUAGUCCACGCCGUAAACGAUGAGUGCUAGGUGUUAGACCCUUUCCGGGGUUUAGUGCCGUAGCUAACGCAUUAAGCACUCCGCCUGGGGAGUACGACCGCAAGGUUGAAACUCAAAGGAAUUGACGGGGGCCCGCACAAGCGGUGGAGUAUGUGGUUUAAUUCGACGCAACGCGAAGAACCUUACCAGGUCUUGACAU
rnacentral:rRNA from 1 species